AUACGUAGGUGGCAAGCGUUGUCCGGAUUUACUGGGUGUAAAGGGCGAGUAGGCGGGACUGCAAGUCAGAUGUGAAAGCUAUCGGCUUAACUGAUAAACUGCAUUUGAAACUGUGGUUCUUGAGUGAUGGAGAGGCAGGCGGAAUUCCUAGUGUAGCGGUGAAAUGCGUAGAUAUUAGGAGGAACACCAGUGGCGAAGGCGGCUUACUGGGCACUAACUGACGCUGAGGCACGAAAGCAUGGGGAGC
rnacentral:rRNA from 1 species